UAAUAUCUAUAGAUAAUAAAAAUGUGUAUACGUACUUACAAUUAGUAAAGUGAAUAAGUUUAUAUAAGCUCCUUAGUUGACAAAUGGCCCAAAAAUUAGUUUGCUAUAGAAAUAGAAAGUCCUUUUAAUGCUUGCUAUAUAUUUAUUAACUCAAUUUACUUCUACUUUGAAUGAAUGACCGUAAAAGUGUUUGCUAUAGCGGCGUAAAUCCAAUAUUUUGGACUUGAUUCAUUAUUCCACGCAACAAUUGGACUCACGCCAUUGUUUCAUUCAAUUAAUCCUUUGACAUACAAUGAUGUCUAGGAGACGUCAAGAACUGUCUUCGGCGAACGCUGUUCAGUAUAUUAUUGGAUUCUUUAAUUGUUAAGAUUGGGUAUAAAUGCAGCACCUCAGUGUGUUUUCAAAAAAGUUUUAUGUGAUGAUUUUUUUUGAACGAGGAGUGGUAUCCAUUAACAAAUGAUGAAGUUAAAGCAUAUUUUGCGUUAUGCAUUAUAAUGUCAAAUAUAAUAAUUACAAAAUCUAAAAUAGACAUGUAUUGGUCAAAAUGAAAAAUCUUCAUUGUUUAGAUAAUGAGAUGGUUUCUGAAGAAGGCAGAAUACGAAAGAUUCGAUGCAACUAGCCGAACCCAUUUUAGGGAAAGGAUAUAUCUUGUUCUUAGAUAAUUGCUACAUCGUGCCUUGUAUAUUACAAUGCAACAAAACUGGCAAGUUUCGAUGAGUUGCUCUAGGACCAUAUCGAACGAACGCCCUAAUCCCUUUGGAUGGAACUUUUCGAUUCGUUCCGUUUGUCUUCCACGGUCUAAAAUAAAAAGGAAAUUUAAACAGUGAUGAGAUUUUUGAAGGAAAAUGAGAAAUGACGAACGACAAGAAAAAAAGAAUUAAGCACACUUUUGAAAAACAACGCGGCUGGAGAUACACGACGGAUGGAUUGAGAUCUUUUUGUUAUCUAUUAUUUUUAUUUUUAUUAUUACUUGUUCAUUUUUGUUUUUAUUAUUUUUUUCGUUUCAAUAAGACAAAACGAAAGAUAGAAAGUAUUUUAUCUUCUCCAGCGCGUCGACGCAAUUAUUGCCCAUCUCGGGACGGAAAUCAUCUGGGACGAUUUGAUACUAUCGAUAUUUGAAUGUCGCUGAUCAUCCACCAUUUUAGCACUCUUUUCUUUCGCCUCUUUUGGAAGAAAAAGUUAAGGAUAAAAUGAACCCAAUUGGAACAUCAUGCUUGGUGUAAAUAAAAGUAAAUAAAUAAUAUAGG